rnacentral:rRNA from 1 species
UACGUAGGGGGCAAGCGUUGUCCGGAUUUAUUGGGCGUAAAGAGCGUGUAGGCGGUCAGGUAGGUCCGUUGUGAAAACUCGAGGCUCAACCUCGAGACGCCGAUGGAAACCAUCUGACUAGAGUCCGGAAGAGGAGAGUGGAAAUUCCCGGUGUAGCGGUGAAAUGCGCAGAUAUCGGGAGGAACACCAAUUGCGAAGGCAGCUCGCUGGGACGUCACUGACGCUGAGACGCGAAAGCGUGGG